rnacentral:lncRNA from 1 species
GGUUGUAUAAUUUUUAUUUAUUAGGAAAGUUGACAUGCUUGAAAAUUCGUAAUAAUAAAGAAAACAAAUAAAUGCAAGUAUAAACUUAAACAGCAGUAUAAAUAAAGGUUUCAAAUAGUACUUUUCUGUGCAUAUGGGAAUUAGAUACUCUUUCAAUUUUGUUUAACUACAGUAUGUCAAUAUUACCAUGGACAUGACAAAUAUUAUUCAAAUAAUUGUUAUAAAUCAAAAUAACGUUUUCAUAUAAUAAUUAAAAUUGAAAAAAAAUAUUCUUCUGUGAUUCAACAAAGGAUACAAUUAUCUGACCUUUAAGAGUGUAAAACAUGUGUACUUUAAUGCUGUUUAAAUCAAAAUUUCAACAGAUACAUUAUAAAAGAAAGCCUGGACUAUCAUGAUUUUUACAUCCAAGAAUCAAUUCCUAUUCUGUGACUUUAUUCUAACUUUUGCUAACUUUAACUGUAUUUCUUUUCAAUAACAUUAAAUACGAUUUUAUUCAUUAAGAGUAAUUUCUAGUAUUUGAUUUAAAUGAAAAUGUUACGAAUGUUCUUCUAAUGGAAUAUUAACUUUUAAAAAUUUGAUGUAAACAGACAAGCAACUGUAAUGCCUAGAGCGAUAUAUAAGAAAUAAAUAAUCUAAUCUACAAUUCAAAAUUGUAGCAUUUCUAUGAAACAUACAUGAAUAAAAAAAACAAUGUUUCAGUCAGUAACAAGUUAUACAUUGCAUCAGAAGAAAUUUGAAGUUAAAUAGAUAUCUUCCUUCAAGACUUAAUUUUUCAAAUCACAUCUUGAAAUACAUAAUAAACAUUUUCUAACAUGAACUUUCAUCUACAUCAUAAAAACCAAUCAUAUAUGCCAAAACUGUUAAAUAUUUUCAAUAACAUGCCUCCUACAUCUAUAAUCUAGAAUUAAACCAAGGCAUAAAAAAUCAUGUAAAGCAAUUUGGAAAUUCUGUAAAUGACAUUAAUUAUGACAUUAUGACAUUACUUUAUAAACAAACGAGAAUUUUACUCCUUGGCCAAACACCAUAAAAUGUCUAACAGUCAGGAAAUAUGUCAACACUAUUGCACAUAUAAUCAGUGAGUAUAAAUUAACCUUUUAAAUAAUCCUCAAUUCAUUUUUAACCUCUACUACUAACUAAAAUCUAACACAAUUAUCUUUUAAAAUGUUAGUGUCUCCCACUAUGCAAGACAAGAACAGUACCUUGUGGACCUAAACACUAUCAAGACAUGUUUAUGAGACAAAAACCUACAAAAAAUAUGUUACUUCAUAAUUUGAUUAUGAUUACAAUUAGGGUCCUGUUUAAUCAAAAUUUUAUCACAGUUUUUUAAUUUCAUGAAAAGCUCAUCAACAAAACACAUUAAUCAAAUGCGACUGAAAUCAUUAUCAUACAAUUAUAAUUAUCUAUUCAUCUAUAGCAAUAUAAAAUAUAAAUUAUGCAAUAUGAAUACAACUAGCACUUGCUGAGUUGUAUUAAUAAGAAUCAGAUAUAUACUUUGACCAAGCUUUUUGCACAUUCAAUGAGUAUAAAAUUUAAGCAUUUUAAACAGCAGCUUUUCAGAAGCCAGCUUACGUGUCAAUAACAGAUACUACAGUUUCUGUUGUUUCAUUAAAGCAGAGGGUACACAAGAAUAUGUGUCAACUGGAACCAUGCCCUUCUCUCACUAUCAAAUUUUUAUGUUCAUUCAACAAUACAAUCUGGUUAAAAAUAUUACUUUGGCAUAUAUUUUUUUUGAUUUUGCAUCAUAAAAAUACUUCCCCAUUUCCAUUCUCAAUUUUAUUAACAUGUGUUUAUACACUUUUUGCAUGUUUCAAGUUGACGUGACUAAUAAUAAACUACCCUAAACCAGCACUUAACCAAAUACAUUUCUAUAUUAAGUGAACCAUAAAAACUUGGUCAAAAACCUUAUAUCCCAUCAACUUACACAAAAACUUAUCCUAAAACGUUUUCGAUGUUUAGUGAACCUGGAAUUCUUGGUCAAAAUCCUAACUUGCAUUGAUCUUCAUACACAGGCAUUUUUUCUCCACGUGAUUCCAUAUAUGCAUAGGCGGAUCCAGGGGGGGGCCCCCCCUUUCGUGGGGAAAAUUUGGUUGAUUAUAAAGGGAAUCAUUGAAGCAUGACUGGAGCGGCCCCCCUCCCCCCUCCUUAGGAAAAGUUCUGGAUCCGCCACUGAUAUGUAAACUCAUUUUCAAGGUUGUGUGACUUGACCACAAUUUCAAAUUUUCUUAAACAUUUUAAACCAAAGCUUUUACCUUUAUAUGUAAUAGAUGGACAAACUAUGAAACAAAUUGCACACAAAUAUCAAAGGCAGUGCAUCAAAACCGUUUUAUUUUUAUUGGGUACAGAUAAUAGUUUUAAUUCUGAAUUUUACUGAUUUAUUUUCCCUGUGAUAGUUUUACAAAUUUAAACAUUAAUCACAAUGUAUCACAUACAUAUUAUUAGGCAAAUCUGUCUUGCAUGAACUGUGAGUGGCUUUUUUCAAAGACUAAAAAUACCAAUUCCUAACAAUAUGAUAAAUAAAAGUAUUACAUAUAAAAAAUUUAACAAACAAAUUACCAUAUCCCAAAUUUUACCAAUAUAAAACAUGAACAUAAAUAAAUCUCAUUUCAAAGUUCACUCAAUUUGACCAACAAACAAAUAAACUUGAUUACCCAGUAUUUCAACACAUUCAUACUUGUAAAAAAAAAAUUGAGCAUACUUUUUAAUUUUAAUCUAAUCACUAGUCUUUUUUUCUAUAGACUAUUGUUAGCUAAACCUUUAAAUCUUUAUAUGACAAAACCACUUACAACACAAGUUUCAAUGUAUGAGAUAUAAUCAUAAAUGCUUGUAUCCAGUAAUUCCAAAAUAAGGAUGACAUUUUUUUCCAGUGUACAUUAUUACAACAUGCACAUCAAACAAUGCCCCUAUUAUUUCAAUAUUUUUUUUAAAUGAUAAUGGAUGAUAGAAAAGAACAUAAAUGAAUUUUUAUCUUAUGUUUCUUGCCUGGUACAGAUCUGACAUCUAAUUACUAUGCCCAUCAUCAUUAAAGUAUUAUUGCAAGUUAAUAUCAAAACUCUCUAAAGAGAAACAAAUUCGUGAGAUAAAAACUUCAGUUUGCAACCUUUCUUCUGAAAUUGACUUUUCAAGUAUUGUAAUGUUUUCCAAACCAACAAAACAAUUUAGAUGAGUCUUUCUAGUUCUUAAAAAAGAUAUGAUUUCUGUAAGAUAGUAUUUUCAUAUAAUUCAAUUGUUCUGGAAUAUUUAACUAUCAAAAAUAGGAAUACAUUCAUUGAUAAAUUUCGCUGAAUAUAGGCAACUGUAAAGGGCAGUAUUCCUGUAUUUCUAUGGCACUUGUUUUACUAACAACCUUUUUAAACAAAUAGGAGAAAAAUGAAGUUUUUUGCAUUAUUUAUUCAAUGUAUCUGUUCCAUACAUAAUAUUCUAAUUGAAAAAAUCAGCAAAUUAUCCCAAUGUGUACACAACAUGAGGUGGAUACCUUCUAUAUAUCUAUAUUAUAGGUCUGGUCUGAAAACUGCAAGUGUUGAUAUCACAAUAUGAGUAUCAAUGACGAUGAAUAUUCUUAGUACAGAAUGAAAAUGUAGAGCAGGUCAAUAGUCUUCUAAUAUAUCAGUUUGGUUACAGUUAAAGCAUGAUAAGAAUAUCAGUCGACUAUUUACCCAAAACGAAUUCAUAACAAAUAGAUGUGAAAUAUUCAAU